AGCUUCGCGCAGUGGCAGUAUCGUAGCCAAUGGGUUUAGCUGAGGCGCGAUUAUUGCUAAUUGG
rnacentral:snRNA from 1 species